rnacentral:rRNA from 1 species
UACGGGGGGAGCAAGCGUUGUUCGGAUUUACUGGGCGUAAAGGGCGCGUAGGCGGUCAGCACAAGUCAGUUGUGAAAUCUCCGAGCUUAACUCGGAAAGGUCAACUGAUACUGUGCGACUAGAGUGCAGAAGGGGCAACUGGAAUUCUUGGUGUAGCGGUGAAAUGCGUAGAUAUCAAGAGGAACACCUGCGGCGAAGGCGGGUUGCUGGGCUGACACUGACGCUGAAGCGCGAAAGCCAGGGGAGCGAACAGG